rnacentral:misc_RNA from 1 species
UUGUACACACCGCCCGUCACACCAUGGGAGUGGGUUGCAAAAGAAGUAGGUAGCUUAACCUUCGGGAGGGCGCUUACCACUUUGUGAUUCAUGACUGGGGUGAAGUCGUAACAAGGUAACCGUAGGGGAACCUGCGGUUGGAUCACCUCCUUACCUAAAGAUAUCCUGACUGUGCAGUGUCCACACAGAUUGUCUGAUGAAAAGAACGAGCAAAGCGUCUGCGGAGCCGACAUAUACCGUGUCCCCUUCGUCUAGAGGCCUAGGACACCGCCCUUUCACGGCGGUAACAGGGGUUCGAAUCCCCUAGGGGACGCCAUUUGCUGAUGUCGGGUGAAAGACGGUAUCAAACGAUAUCUCAAAACUGGCUUGCGAGUCAUGUUUGAGAUAUUUGCUCUUUAACAAUCUGGAACAAGCUGGAAAUUGAAACAUGGCAGCUGAAACUUGUCCCCCGUAGAAGUCCGGGAUGAGGAGUAACCUGUCAUAGAGUCUCUCAAAUGUAGCAAUGCGACGAUGUCGGAAGACACCUUCGGGUUGUGAGGUUAAGUGACUAAGCGUACACGGUGGAUGCCUAGGCAGUCAGAGGCGAUGAAGGGCGUGCUAAUCUGCGAAAAGCGUCGGUAAGGUGAUAUGAACCGUUGCACCCGACGAUACCCGAAUGGGGAAACCCAGUGUGUUUCGACACACUAUCGUUAAGUGAAUACAUAGCUUAACGAGGCGAACCGGGGGAACUGAAACAUCUAAGUACC